rnacentral:rRNA from 1 species
AUGUUGAUCAAUUUGACACAAGGUCGGGAUGUGUUUCGCUGGAACCUUACUGCAUCGGGGUCUUUCACAGUAGACUCUAUGUAUCAUGCGCUCACGCAUUCUGAGGUACCAGUGAGUAAUAACAAGAAAAUCUGGAAGUCAAAGAUUCCACUAAAAGUUAAAAUCUUCAUGUGGUAUCUUCGUAGGGGAGUUGUUCUAACCAAAGACAACCUCGCACGGCGCAACUGGCCAGGGAGUAAGAUGCGUUGUUUUUGUACUCAUGAAGAAACAAUCAAACACCUCUUUUUCCAAUGCAAGUUUGCACGUUCUACGUGGUCAGUCAUCCAAAUAGCGUCAAAUUUGUAUCCGCCCACAAGUGUCGCCAAUGUUUUUGGUCAUUGGUUGGAUGGUAUUCCAAAUAGGUUGAAAACGCUAAUAAGGGUUAUUUUCCGUUGUACGCACUCGCUUCGUACGUGGUAUACGCUACAACGAGUGGAGUACCAACCGCUGUUCAAGGCGGUGUGUAUGCGGUUGGAGCAGGUGGCUACGGAGGUUUUUACCCAACAUGGGUGGCAGCAUAAUCUCCAGAUCGGUCCACCACCCCUUUCGACAUAG